rnacentral:tRNA from 1 species
AUCUUCCUAGUACAAACAGUAUGUGUGACUUCCAAUCACUAGAUCUUGGUUAAAAUCCAAGGAAAGAUA